AUUGAACGCUGGCGGCAUGCUUUACACAUGCAAGUCGAACGGCAGCGCGGGCUUCGGCCUGGCGGCGAGUGGCGAACGGGUGAGUAAUGCAUCGGAACGUGCCCAGUAGUGGGGGAUAGCCCGGCGAAAGCCGGAUUAAUACCGCAUACGACCUGAGGGUGAAAGCGGGGGACCGAAAGGCCUCGCGCUAUUGGAGCGGCCGAUGUCGGAUUAGCUAGUUGGUGGGGUAAAGGCUUACCAAGGCGACGAUCCGUAGCUGGUCUGAGAGGACGACCAGCCACACUGUGACUGAGACACGGCCCAGACUCCGACGGGAGGCAGCAGUGGGGAAUUUUGGACAAUGGGGGCAACCCUGAUCCAGCCAUGCCGCGUGCGGGAAGAAGGCCUUCGGGUUGUAAACCGCUUUUGUUCGGGAAGAAAUCCUCUGGGCUAAUACCCCGGGGGGAUGACGGUACCGGAAGAAUAAGCACCGGCUAACUACGUG
rnacentral:rRNA from 1 species